UAGCAGCACGUAAAUAUUGGAGUUACGCUUUUUCCAAUGCCCCCAGUAUUAAUUGUGCUGCUGGA
rnacentral:pre_miRNA from 1 species